rnacentral:rRNA from 1 species
UACGUAGGGGGCGAGCGUUGUCCGGAUUCAUUGGGCGUAAAGAGCUCGUAGGCGGUUCGAUAAGUCGGGUGUGAAACCUCCAGGCUCAACCUGGAGACGCCACCCGAUACUGUCGUGACUAGAGUCCAGUAGGGGAGCGUGGAAUUCCGGGUGUAGCGGUGAAAUGCGCAGAUAUCAGGAGGAACACCAGCGGCGAAGGCGGCGCUCUGGGCUGGCACUGACGCUGAGGAGCGAAAGCGUGGGGAGCGAACAGG